AUGAUUUGGUUUUCACAUAAAGAUAGAGGUUGAAUAUCCCAGUUAGAUUACUUAGGUGCCUUAUGAUCCGACCUUGGUUGACCUAUAGUCACAAUGCAGUCACAUAUAUAAUAAAAAAUACCUAUAUGGUUCAGUCUAUCUUCUCUUUUCUUGCAUAAUUAUAAAAAAAAAUCCUUCUGAUGACAAAUCUAGCCUCGUGGCGUAGUCUGGUUCGAGUAAUUAAGCCCGAGGGGUGUUUCACCUAAUGUCUUAAGCCAACUGGAUCGGGGUUCAUUGGCUGAAAGCUCGCUACAUAGACCUUACUAGAGCCUAAUGAGGUUAUGGGUAUUAAAAAAAAAAAGAAUGAAAUAAUAAUAAGCAUGUAUGAGUUGGUCAGGCUGAACCCAGUGACAUGUGGUAAUAGCUGGUUUGACUCCAUUGUAUUGGACCUCUGUGUACCCGGAUUGUUUAGUUGGGAUUGAUAGCUCUUUCUUUACAUGCGAACCAUUCUUGACAAAUUUAGACAACAUGUGAUAUUCUGAAAAUUUGAUGGAUCAGGUUCUAAUAAAUUGUAGAAAACACUUUUGAACUUGAGUAGUGCACCUAAAACUCAGGCGGUGCCCUGUUGUGGUGGAGGUAUUAGUACUCUGAGAAAGUCAUGCGAUUUGAUGCACACUACACUUUUAUAUUUCCUUGCUUUGACAGUAGCCAUGCUUGAAAAUAAAUA
rnacentral:lncRNA from 1 species